rnacentral:rRNA from 1 species
CCUACGUGAGGCAGCAGUGAGGAAUAUUGGUCAAUGGACGAAAGUCUGAACCAGCCAAGUCGCGUGAAGGAUGACUGCCCUCUGGGUUGUAAACUUCUUUUAUAUGGGAAUAAAGUAUUCCACGUGUCGGGUUUUGUAUGUACCAUAUGAAUAAGGAUCGGCUAACUCCGUGCCAGCAGCCGCGGUAAUACGGAGGAUACGAGCGUUAUACGGAUUUAUUGGGUAUAAAGGGAGCGUAGGUGGAUUGUUAAGUCAGUUGUGAAAGUUUGCGGUUCAACCGUAAAAUUGCAGUUGAUACUGGCAGUCUUGAGUACAGGAGAGGUGGGCGGAAUUCGUGGUGUAGCGGUGAAAUGCUUAGAUAUCACGAAGAACUCCGAUUGCGAAGGCAGCUCACUGGACUGCAACUGACACUGAGGCUCGAAAGUGUGGGUAUCAAACAGGAUUAGAUACCCUAGUAGUC